UCUCCUGGAAACGGGUGGUAAUGCCGGAUGCUCCAGUUGACCGCAUGGUCCUCUGGGAAAGCUUUUGCGGUAUGGGAUGGGGUCGCGUCCUAUCAGCUUGAUGGCGGGGUAACGGCCCACCAUGGCUUCGACGGGUAGCCGGCCUGAGAGGGCGACCGGCCACAUUGGGACUGAGAUACGGCCCAGACUCCUACGGGAGGCAGCAGUGGGGAAUAUUGCACAAUGGGCGCAAGCCUGAUGCAGCGACGCCGCGUGCGGGAUGACGGCCUUCGGGUUGUAAACCGCUUUUGACUGGGAGCAAGCCCUUCGGGGUGAGUGUACCUUUCGAAUAAGCACCGGCUAACUACGUGCCAGCAGCCGCGGUAAUACGUAGGGUGCAAGCGUUAUCCGGAAUUAUUGGGCGUAAAGGGCUCGUAGGCGGUUCGUCGCGUCCGGUGUGAAAGUCCAUCGCUUAACGGUGGAUCCGCGCCGGGUACGGGCGGGCUUGAGUGCGGUAGGGGAGACUGGAAUUCCCGGUGUAACGGUGGAAUGUGUAGAUAUCGGGAAGAACGCCA
rnacentral:rRNA from 1 species